CCUACGGGAGGCAGCAGUGAGGAAUAUUGGUCAAUGGCCGGAAGUCUGAAUCAGCCAAGCCGCGUGAAGGACGACGGUGCCAAGCAUUGUAAACUUCUUUUGUCAAGGGACAAAAUCAGGCUCGAGAGCCUGACCGUGUGUACUUGAAGAAAAAGCAUCGGCUAACUCCGUGCCAGCAGCCGCGGUAAUACGGAGGAUGCGAGCGUUAUCCGGAUUUAUUGGGUUUAAAGGGUGCGUAGGCGGGCUGUUAAGUCAGCGGUAAAAGCCCGGGGCUCAACCCAGGCGAGCCGUUGAAACUGGCUGUCUUGAGAUGUCGAGAGGUAUGCGGAAUGCGCAGUGUAGCGGUGAAAUGCUUAGAUAUCGCGAAGAACUCCGAUUGCGAAGGCAGCAUACCGGCGGCGAUCUGACGCUGAGGCACGAAAGCGUGGGUAUCGAACAGGAUUAGAUACCCGAGUAGUC
rnacentral:rRNA from 1 species